rnacentral:lncRNA from 1 species
AAAGUGGCUGUGCCAUUUCACACUAUCACCAGCAGUAAGUGUCCUUGUUGCUUUACAUCCUUUCUAGCAAUUGGUAAUGUCAGCUACCUGGAUUUUAGCCAUUGUUAUAGUUGAAAAUAUAAUUUUGCUUUCUUUUGUUUUUGGAGACAGGGUUUCAUUAUGUGGCCCAGGCUGGUCUUGAACUCACAAUCCUGCCACAGCUUCCUGAAUCCUAGGAUUUCCAUGACCAGCCUGGAAAUACAAUUUAAAAAAAAGGAUCUUGACACAUACACAAUGCCAUAUUUCUCUAUAGAAAGGAUUGAACCCAAUAUCUUCACAAUGAGCUACAUUUCCAGCCUUCUAAAUUACUUUAAAAAAUUUUGACACAAGGUCUUGCUACAUUGCUAAAUUGCCCAGGCUAAGGGCCAGGGAUUUAGCUCAGUGGUUCUGCCACCUGCCUCGCAAGCACAAGGUCCUGAGUUCGAUCCCUGGGACCAAAAAAAAAAAGAAAAAUUUCCCAGGCUAGAUUUGAACUUGUGAUCCUCUUGCUUCAGCCUCCUAGGGCACUGGGAUUCCAGCAGGCGGCGAAUGCUUCUGUUUUUUGGAGGAGCUCCAGUUUUCACUUUCACCUUUGACAUCAUCUCCUGGCUUCCAGCACAGACUCUUCAGUUUCUGGCUUCUGGUGUAAACUCUUCAGCCUUCCAUUGCAGACACAUCAGCCUCCUGAUAUGGACUCGAAAGGGACAUUGCAGUGAGCUCCAGACCUUCGACUACAGAGCCAAGACUGCAGAAACACAAACACAGGCCUUCAUAAUUCUAUUGGCUGAACUACAACAUAAGCUUAACGCUCAGGCUCCAAAGUACCAGGGAUAGAACUGAGGACCUUGUGCUUUCGAGGCUCUCGCUAUGUAGUUCAGGCUGGUCUUGAACUCGUGGCAAUCCUCCUGCCUCAGGCACUCCAGUGCUGGGAUUACAGGUCUACGCCACCAAGCCCGGCUAAACUUCUCUUUAUUGACAAAAGAGAUAGAGGAGGAAGCACAGACAUGUACAGAUGGGGAGAGAUCCUUAGAAGGGAAGACCUCCUUUGGUUAGCUUUGCGAUCUGGCUAGAAUUGGUUUGGCUGGCAGAACCUACACCGGGCGAAGGACGCAUGAAAUCCGAAGAGGAGGCAGUAGCUAACAAAAAUGAGUCUUUCCUAUAACUUUGGCACUUUUCUUGCUGCUGUGUUAUCACAUGAUUUAUUCAUACCCACCCAAUAAAAGGAAGAUGCCAAUAUCACUCCCAUUUUACAAGGAAUAACAUCAAUCGCGCCGAGGUCACCCAGCACAAAAGUGGCAGUGUUAGAACUCAAAAUUGCUUCACAGCACGCAGCGUUCAGUCAGGCGGUCGGAUUCUGUGCGCUGGUCGUCACCCGCCUUGCCACCUCCUUCGUGGGACAGUUCCCGGUACUGAGGGAUGGCGCUGUCCAGCCCGCGGACCCGCCGUCUGCCCCUGGCAAGAGAACGCGGCCCCGCGGGGCGAUCGCGCCCAAUGCUGGAG